GGGGUUGUGGCUUGGUGGUAGAGUACUCACCUCACACGUGUGAGGCACUGGGUUCGAUACUCAGCACCACA
rnacentral:tRNA from 1 species